rnacentral:misc_RNA from 1 species
GGUGGCAAUCAGGCUGGUGAAAGCAAGCUCUGCUAUAGGUUGGACUUACUCUCAGUGUUAGAAUGGGAUGAGAGAACAAGCUGAGAGGAUGUUAAGAUGGAUAAUGCCAAGAAUAGACAGUGUAUUGGAUGAUCAUUAUGGAGCGUGUUGUUUGAUAUGAUGUGCUUCAUUGACUUGUGAUGGGCACAAUAGCAGCAUUGCUUGGGAUGAGCACUCCGGAAAGCUUUUGGAUCUGUUUCACUAGCCACUACUCAUUUCACAAUUGUUAACAGUGUUGUGUGUUCAUCCAGGUUCUUGCAAACAGGUGCUUUCCAGGUUGUCUGCUUCUAGUGCUUUUAUUAUGAAUCCUACCUUAAUGCACCAGAGUGUUUUUGGCUUGAAUGUUUUCAAAUCAGUUUGCAUUAUCAUGUCAGCCAAAGCCAUUUACUUUGUAGUAAUUGGAAUUGAUCAAGGCACUAUUUAGAGUCCAAACGUGUAUAAUUUGCCAAAUAUACAAGAUUUUUCCAUUGUCAAAAAUUAAGUGCCUUGGUGAACUGUGAUAUGAUCUAGAGACCAUUGAAAUGCUUGUCAAAAUUAGUGGAUUUAUGUUCUAGAUAUCAUUAAUGGGAAGAAAGACUUGUGUUAUUUGAGCUGUUUGGGUGAAGUUAAGGAGGUUUUCAGGUGCAUUAAGUGAUAGGUGUUGAUAGGGGCAACUGAGGUCGACAGUUAUUCAAAUAGCCCUUGGACAGGGCAGUGUUAACAGUGCCUUAGGUCUUGUUCCUGUGCUUCCAAGUUACAGAGAUUUUUUUGACUGCCAAAAGUACUUUAGCCCGCCAUUAGGAAGCUUUACAGUGGACUUGCCAGAGACUGACAGCAGUUGUGUUGUCUUGUGAACCAUAUUUGCUUUAAAUGAGCCACAUUGAUCCAAUCAAAGGAUAUUAAUGUGUUACCAGUUUGUAUCCAACAGUAAUUCCAAAUAGGCUGAAAAUUUCUACAUAACAACAGAUUUGAAACAAAAUCUGGCAUGAGAAACAUUCAGGAUAUAUGACAAGAGGAUCCUUCCAUCCAGUGGUGUGUCUUCAAUAUACACGGCUUCAUUAUGGAAUGUGUGAUGCAGCUCUAGCUGUGACAUCAAACCUCACGCCCCCUGAUGCAGCCUAAAGUGUCCGCGUUUUGCCCUGAUGACACUCCACGUUGCAGGUGUUGAUCCAGACACCCAUGCACACCUGACUUACCUGCUGUUGAAGCAGUUGCCCCACCUGUCCCCCGCGAACCUGCCCCCUCACGCCUAUACGCUGGCACACACAGGCAGGGGUAAGGGAUAUGGUCCUCCGCUACCCCCGCUGAUUGCCCUGGGGAAAGGGGCGCCAUCAUCGUCAUCAUCUUCACGAGUGACAUCGGUUUCAUCAUCCAGUGGAAGUUUUGUACGGGAGCGAUUAGAUGAGAUUCUUGUAGUCCGAGGACGAGGCUUUACCCGCACACCUAUCGAUGACCGCCCACCGCUUGACAGUGUUGAUGAGGAUCCCAUCAUGCGUCAGAUCCUGGACAGCAUACAUGAGCCUGUAUCAAGCCUCAACACAACCCCAGCAAGCAGUGGGCGGUCCUCCCCCACGAUCGAAUCACACAGCACCCUGUCAGCAUCACAUGGAGGGUGGACGACUGGCAACACCACCGAGAGGAGCAGCCUUGACUCCUCCUACUCUUGGGAUGAGUUUGACCGCCAGGCAGCAAAGACAGUGAACCAGCUGUUUGAUGAGAUUGAGCGGUUCUUGUUCGAAGGCAGCAGUGAGAACCCGUCCAGUAUAUUCAAGGAAUGCAAGGAUUGGAGCACACACUUUCCUCAUCUCAGGGUUUUGGGCACCCAGAAGGUGGAGCCCCAGGAUGAGGGUUUUCAGGAGAUCCCCCAGGACAGUCCUCGACUCUCCUCACCAGGGCUGCUCCUUGACGUCACAGACAACGACAUCUCCAUAUCAGCUGAUUCUCAGGGGCUCAGUGUAACGGGUAGACAGAUGAAGGCGAUGAAGGCACCCGUGGAUGCGGCAGCUAUCCACACAGACCGGGACUACUCCAAGAAUGAGUAUGCCUAUCUCUUUGAGGAAAUACUGGCACAAGAUGGCGUCUACGAGGAGGUCAUCGCCAUCGACUACAAGGAUGUCCAUGAAGACUCUGAACACAAGAAGCAGAUCACCCCUCGACGACGGCGGAUAGGUUAUCCCCCCAUCACCCCCAACGCUUGUGUGAAAGAUAGUGUAGCUAGUUCCGUGUUUGACUGCAUGUGGAAUGAGAUCAUCUCCUGGAUGAGGCCAAUUAUAAAGGAAUAUACCAUUCUAAUAGAAUCCAAACAAGAUCUAGUGCCUUCAUCAGGGUUCCAUGUGUCGCCCAUCGGCCUCCAUGACCCAGGACGCACAACCAGGGAGUCGUCCUACAUGGGCUUGAUGCAACCCAGACCAUUCCAGGCCCUGACACUACAGCGGGCCCACACUCACAUCGGCACGACAGACCCGCAGAAAUCCAUCGAUGGUUGUCUCCAGAUCUCCAGGGUUACUCUCAAAAACAAGAAUGCACCAGAGUCGACUGAUUCGGAAUCGGUAUCCCCGGCUCGACCUAGCUCCAGCAUGAUUGGCAAGCGGCCGACUAGCGUGAAGAUUCUGCCCUACCCCAGUCGGCGCAAGGCCCUGGCGCCUCUCCCUGACAGGUCCAAGACACCAAGUGUGGAGGAGGAGAUGCCAAACAGUAUCAGCAUCAGACGAAUAACACCCGCCCCCAUACAGAAGAACACCGCCCUCCCACCUCUAGCCUACGACCCGCAGCAGGAGAAGGGCAAGCGGAAAAUGACCUCGUUACGAGUCAGCAGUGCUAUUGAGAACAAGGAUGUGCGAACGCUUCACUUCAACCGGGAGAAGAGCAACCCGUCCAUCGACCCACGGCCCAGUACAACUCAUGCAAUGAGAUCUGAUACUCCUUUUCAAAUGGGAACUUCCGGGCGUCGGUCGUCAACACCGCUGGGCUACAGCAGGGGUAUGCUUCAUGGCAGCAAGUCUCUCGGCAUCACCGGCAGCAGUCUCCAGCACUCGUCCGACCUCGGUCCACCUCCCAACAUCAUGGAGAAUGAAGGGAUGGAAGAGAGUCCACUACACAACCAGUGGCCACCAAAUGCAUCUCGGAGGAGGACUGUGCGUACUUGAUAGGACAUGAGAAUUUUGCAAUGUGUGCAAGUUCGUGCCAUCAAUUGUGUCUUUCCACACUCAAGGAACUUAUCCCUUCAUCCUAACUUGUGAUACCAAACAGAAGAUGAGGACAUAGCCUGUGAUACAGGGAGAACCCGAUACACGCAGAGAACCCAUUAUGUAGAGAGAGCAAGUCGGGGGGUCUCUCAACAAGCACCUGUCUGUCCAGCUCUUAGCCAAAUGUCAAUGCCACGGUCUCUUGCUUCAACCUCUACAGCACUAGAAGUGGUGCAUCCAGGGAUGUGACACCGCUGUGUUUCUAAGAGGAUGUUGGGAUAGUAAAGGAUUCUGUUUCAAAAGGAAAGGUGGUUUAUUUUCUGCAUGUAACACCGCUGCCUUUCUUAGCUGAAGUUUGGAUGGUACAGGAUUCUGUUUCAAAAGGAAAGGUGGUUUGUUUUCUACAUGUAACAAUGUAUGGUAUGAAGAGAUGUGUCAUAUGUCCAAGUGUGUGUCCAUAGUCUCGGGCCCAUGCUUCAAUCACAAGAGGGGCACACAGAGUGUCAACCUUCAUGUUUCGGGCCAUGCUGCAGCUGAAACGCUAUCCGUGAGUGUCGGCACACAUAGGAGUGGUAGGACUGAGACGUGAUGUAUCAGCCCACUGGACCAUGUUCACAAAGGUCCAGCACUGUUCAACUGUAUUGUAUCAAUCAGACAUUUGGGAUUCUGGUCUCAGUGUAAGGAAAGCACACAUGACUUGUCUAUCAGACUUACUGUGAUAUGGUGCCUCUGGUGCCCUCCGGCUUCAGUGGGGGCCUCCUGCAGUUCCUGUGAUUAUUGUCAAGUUGGGCCUCAUCGGUCACAUUUACUCAGCCUGAUCUUUACCUCAUGCGAGUGUUAAGUAGUCCUGGAAACAAAUCUACAGACCUAUAUUUACAGAUAUUCUAAUAACACAAUAAUGAACACAAUAAUGAACACAAUAAUGAACACAAUAAUACAGAGACUCCUCACCAUGUAAUAUCGCCUACUGUAGAUCUGUUAUCUGUUAGCUGUGUUGUGAUUGUCAUUAUGAAUCCUGUGAUAUGUUCGACUAACCUGACACACACCAGGGGCAGCUGCUGCUUAGUCGUGCUUUGCCAACUUAGAGCCACUGUAUUGAGCUGUUUCUGUCCCAAGUAGCAAUAUUCAAGCCAUGCCUCGACCUGGCAAACCAGUGAUUGAUUGCAGGAGCACAGUCCACAUGGAUGACACACCUUUGGCAAGGUCACACAUUGUGACCAACCGAUCCUCAUCUUAGUCUACUUCAACAAGCAUGGGUUUGUAGGAUCUGCCAGGACAUGGUACCACAAGGCUGCUGUCUGUACUCCAGGGAUUAUUCAUUUGAAUCCUUAUGAAGCAAGUUCAGCUGCUUAGUCAGCUAAUGUGGGCCAUGAUACUAUCAUAGUUACAUUAGAACUAGUGGUGGGACGAUACACCGAAGCAUCGCUGGAUAGUGAUUUUUUACUUCUCUACAGUAAAAAGUAUCGCUUCUUACCUUUAUAUGUUUUCUUGAAUAAGUGUUACACCAAACACUAAUUACUAAUGAAAAUGAGUAGGGAAAACGUAAAUAUUUUCUUCCAUUGUGCCAUACCUGACACUGCCAACUGUUAAUCAUUAGUGUGCCAGGUAUUUGGCAAUCCUGUCUAUGAAAAAAGUGGCUUACGCAUCACAGAUAAGUGCACAUGCAAGUAUCAUGAUACGUAUCGGAUCGUGAGCAAGGUAUCGUGAUACGUAUCGGAUCGCACAGUUGGUGUAUCGUCCCAGCCCUAAUUAGAACUGACAGUGGCACGUAAUUAGCUUCAAGGGGAUGUGAUACGUAUCGGAUCGUGAGCAAGGUAUCGUGAUACGUAUCGGAUCGCACAGUUGGUGUAUCGUCCCAGCCCUAAUUAGAACUGACAGUGGCAUGUAAUUAGCUUCAAGGGGAUGUGAUACGUUAAUGUUGAUCUGUAGGGCCACAGUACCUUGUUUUGUUGAACCAUUCCGUGUAGUGCUUCCCAGUCUGCUGUGACAUGAUGACAUUGGUCUCAGUGUUGGUGCCAUGCCCCUGCAGGCAGACAAUUCAACAGUCAUUCUUAGAUAGCCAUUCAUAGAGCAGUUGUCUUUGAUUUGGGAGGUUAUCAAAAGGUUGAUGAAGCUGAUAAAACUAAUUAAUUUAUUUGUAUUUUUGAGAGAACUUACUAUCUCUUUGAUAUCAGAGGCAGUCACUGUCAUUACUUAAUAAAUUGCUUAAGAUGUUUUGUUAGUCUUUUUUUUUUUUUAAAGCCUGCUUUAAGUUUGCUGGUGAAAGAAAGGGAGUUUGACACAAGCAACAGUUCAAACCUUAAAUUCAUGCAGGCUUUCAGAUUGGUAUGUCUUCAAGGACAUUGACUGAUUGUAUUCUAAAAUGUCCUGAAGAUCUUAUUCAAAUAUGGUAAUGAAACAGAAGAUUGUUCUAUCAAGUGUUGAUAAAAUCCUGAAAAUUCCCUCAUGACAUUUUUUGGAAAUAUAAGUAGUCUGACAGGCAAUUUCCUGUUAUUAACAUUACAAUAAUUAAUUUGACAGCAAUUUAUUGACCUCGAUUCAACCCUGUUAUGUUUGCUCCUGCAUCAUUGACAGAUCAAUCUUCAAAUGUUUUACUGUUUUAAAUGAAUACUGGUUUAGUUACAGAAAUUAUUAUAAAAAAAGGCAGCUCUAUGAUUUGUCCACCUGCCUGAGCAACAUGUAUAAGCCAGGACACGGAACAUGUUUAAGCCAGGACACGGAACAUGACACGGAACAUGUUUAAGCCAGGACACGGAACAUGUUUAAGCCAGGACACGGAACAUGUUUAAGCCAGGACACGGAACAUGUUUAAGCCAGGACACGGAACAUGACACGGAACAUGUUUGUUGUUGCAAUGUGUUCUGUUGUUGAGAACUGUAGCCUCAAAUAGUUCGCGCUGCUCUUUUCAUCUCAUAUAUGGUGCCACAAUCAUUAAUCAUUAUGCACAAGGGUCAAUAUGUAAUUUGUUUUUAUGAAAGUGCUACUGAUGUAAAUACUGUACAGAUGUGUUUGAAUGUUACUUGUUAUCAUCUAGCAUCAUGAACAAACUACUCGCAUGUGUACCACAGCCUCGCCUACAUACGGGUUACCUAAUCAUUCUUGUAGAUCCGAGGAUGUAACAUAUUUCUGUUGAUGACUGUUAAUCUCUUGGAGACUUGGGUAAUCAACAUCCUGAUGGGGGUAAACAAACAAACAAACAAACAAACAAACAAACAAACUGAUGGUUAUGAAAGAACACUGUCUUGUCUCUUAACAAAUGCAAAUGUUUAGAAUAGAAAACAAUCCAAAAAAGUGUCCAUAUGAUGGGAAUACCUGUUUCUUAAUACAUGUAGUUCCUGCAAGUGGUGACUAUAUGUGACCCUAGCUUUUCUAUGGCUGCCAAAUUUUAGAAUUGAUUCGAUUGGCAUACAUACUCCAUAAUUAUGAUCAGAUCUGGGCAUGUAGUUAAGUUGAAAAGCGAUAAUUGUAAAGUUAGACUUUCUUUUGAAUCUCUCUUCAGCCAUGGGCUUGGCAUUUCAACAUUAAUGCAACUUGUAGCUUUCUUUCAGUCUCAGUGUGGCAAACGAUUAUUUUAAAAAUAUAUUUCGCUUGCAGCUAGAGUACAAUUGUGUACAAUUUACAUUACUGUCUGAUAUCUAUUACAGUUCUGUUAGAAGGCAUGAAUGUAUCUACCUCCAAUUAGGUUUUUUUUAAAAUGCAAAAAACUAUUUCCCAACAGCGGAUCUUGUGCUUAAAUGUGAUGACUGGGUAAUUUGUAUUGAUGUUAUUCUUGCCACACUGACAUUGUAUAGAAAGGUAUUGGUUUUCAUCGAGGAGGUACCACUUGUCUGUGGGUCUUAAGCAUUGUGUAGAUAAUGUGUAUCCUCCUGACUAACCUUUGUAUGGACUAAUAUGGUUCAAGAACUAAUGGCUUAUAUGCAUAUUGUAUGGUGUACUCAUUUCUCAUUAUCAAGUUUCAAUGUGAUUAUUUCCGUUACUAGGAAUGUUAUCAACUGGCAGUUGUACAUAUGAAAGCUUUGUGAUUACAUCAAUGUAGCCAUGUGCAAUAAAUGGAACAGCCAGGUACAUAGUUGUAAAUAAAUACAUUUCUCUUAUCA